GACCGCCAGCCCAGGCUCCUCUUGCCUUUAUUUAUUUUUCUGACACUGUACGGAGAUGGGCCCGGGGCAGGGGCCGCCGGGCUCAGGCGGGAGCCGCGAGGCCCGGGCCGCAGCUGUCUGCGUGCGGGAGCCGCAGCGGCCGCCUCCCCUCCCGGGCUGUGGACGCACCGGGUUAUUCCUGGCAGCGCCUCCCCGAACAGAAGUUACUAGGAGGAGUGCGCGGCGAGGGCGGACGGGGGGAGAGGCGGAGGGAGGGAGGGAGGAAGAGGGAGAGACUCAGCCAACGACGUCAUCGGAUCCCCCAGCGCGUCCCAGGGAGGGAGGCUGAACCAGAAAAACCAGUCUGGAGCCAAGUAUUGUCAGAAAAUCAUUUCGAACUGAAAUUUUCAUUCAAAAAUAUUUAUUGAAUGCCGGCUAUGUGCUGAAGAUUCUUAAGAUACAUCAGUGAACAAAUCAAAGUUCCCUGCUUUCUUGGAGCUUGCAUUCCAGCGGGAGGAGAGGAUUUGGAGGAAGAAUGGGAUAGACAAUAAAUCACAAGACCUCCUGCCACAGAGCAUGGGACCUGAUAUAUCCAGGCAGGAGAACUGGGUACCAGGAGACACUGUACAUGAAGUUUCCAGAACCAGCCAUGUCCAUCUUACUAAUCAAGACUCUCUCUGUUAAAUCUGCAACUCAAAUGACUUUAAGGAAAAAUGGAUUUCAUUGAUUCACAUAACCAUCACUCAAGGACUAACUUUCAACAUAGUGAGAUCCUGAGGCUCAAAUAUUAUUACCCGGGUUCCAUGAACUGCUUCCUCUGACAUGAGAUCUAACAAGGCUAAAGACUAAAAUGCAGCUGUUUACAGCGUAAGUAGGAGGCCGUCCCGUGCAGUGCAAAAUCAACAGAGAGGAGACAGUCCUAUGCCUUCGAGAGACAGUCUGCUGAUACUGUCAUGAUGUCUAGUGACAGGCCAGAGAUCAAAACCCAACACCCUCAUUUACCUGACAGUGAUUUGGCCAAUCCCUUAACAUCUCUAAGAGCUUCAUUUUUCUACAAAAUUGAGACAAUAGUAUUUGUUUCAUAGUGUUACUGUCAGGGUUAAAUGUUAUACAUUAAGCAUUUAAUAUAUGCUGCUUGUUUAUCUAAAUAUUCAUGGUCAGGCACUAACUUCUUAUGUGACUCUGAGCAAUGCAUUCAUCUCUGUACCUGUUUCCUCAUCCAUAAAUUGGGAGUUGAACAAGG
rnacentral:lncRNA from 1 species